UGGCCAUUGGUCACCCAACAGUUGGCCAACACCUGAUCAAUGGUUGCCCAAUGGUUGACCAGUAGUUCACCAGUAGUUGGCCAGCAGUUGACCAGUGGUUGACCAGAGAUCGACCAAAAGCUGCCCACGAGCCAGCACUGUGCCCUGGUGGCCAAGAAGGCCGGUGGGACCUGGGAUGCAUUGCCCAGAGCGUGGCCAGCAGGGUGAGGGAGGGGAAUGGUUGGCCAACGGUCACCCAACAGUUGGCCAACAGUUGCCCAGAGGUCGGCCAACAGCUGCCCACGAGCCAUCACUGUGCCCUGGUGGCCGAGAAGGCCAACGAGACCAUCCAGAGGUCCCCUCCAACCCUACGGAUC
rnacentral:lncRNA from 1 species